UUCGUUCUAAUGUCAUUAAACGGAAGUCUAGCGAGGGACGACGAGCAUGUGCGUUGGCUCACCGAAUGUUUAUACACGCCUGAAAACUGGAUGGCCUGUUGAUUAUUGUCCCCAAUGACCGAAUGACCACACGCAGAGCUCGCACACAAUCUGUAGCAGAAAUUCCAGGCACGGAAGCAAAACCUGGACUCAAAGGGCCUUAAAGUUAACCUAGCAAAUACCAAAAUUGUUGUUAGCAAGAAAGCAGGCACAAGGUCAUAAUUCUCAAGGAGUGGGCAUAAUUGAUUAUAUUUAGCCCCAGUACAAGACUGGUACUAUAUCUUAUCGACCCUGGAAGGAUAAACAGCAAAGAUGACCUUGGUGGGAUUGGAACUCAGAACAUAAAGGGACAUAACUAAAUACCACAAAGCGAUUUGCUCGAAGCUCUAGCGAUUCUGUCGAUGCAGGCUCAGAUGGAAUUUGUGGCAGUAGAUUUUCUGUGGCUGGAUGCCCUUCCUGUAACCAACCCUUACCUGUUUCCAAGCAAGGACAAACAUGUUUUUGUAGAAUAUUGAAAAGGAAUGACAUUCACUAAAUCAGUCAUGCAGUAUCAAGAGAAAUCAUGGAGGGAAAUCCACCCGGAAGAUUCAUUAUGGAAAAUUUGUUUAAAGCAUCUAACUUGCUUAAAAAAAACAACAAAAAAAAUCCAAUGUUGUUGUUAUCGAAAUUGCAGCAUCCAUAGUUGCAACAGUUGUUGUUGUUGUGGUUAUUUGAUAGCUCUGCUGAUGUAACAGACCCAUGGAACAGAGAUAACCAAUCAGACGAGCUAUCCAAUUGACAUUUCGAGCAGUGUCCUUCCUUCGAACCAAUUUAUUUGUUUAUUUAAUAUUAUUUUUAUGGUAGCCAUGUGGUUAAGAAGCCUGUUUUACAGACAUGUAUUUCUCAGGUUCAAUCCUACGGUAAGGUACCUUAUGCAAGCAUUUUCUUCUGAUGGGUUGAUAAAUAUCUUGUGAGUGAAAUUUGGUGGAUGGAAACUGUGAAGAACUGUAUCCAUGUGAACCCACCUACUUACCUUUCUGCAUCCCUACCCACCACCAUCAUCAUUGUUUUAACCAUUAUUUCAUGAUCAGUUUCCAGGCCACACAGGUCAGAUGGAUUGUCCCAAUAGGAAUCAGCUUUCAUUCAGAGUCCCAACCUUCCCAGAUGAACGAGAAGAGCACAUCUUUUCCUGUCUGUUUCAUUCUAGCAUGGUUUCUAUGGCUACAUGCCAUUCCCAACGACCAGCCAAUAAUCUAUAGCGUUUACUUGGUGCACUUUAUCAUGGCACCAGCACUAGUGAGGCUGUCCGAUUCUCCACAACUACAGGUUCAAAGUAGCACCAACCAAACUCACUGACCCCCACCACUCCCUUAUUACCAACAACAUGAGAGAACAUCGAUUUCUAUCCUCCUAUUCAGAAUAAACACACACACACACACACACACACACACACACACACACAUAUAAAAUAAAAAGCACUAGAAAUUACAUCCACUUUCUCCACAAUAUUCAUAAAAGAGAAGACAGAGCAUAGAAAGUAACAUAAUGAAUGCUGUGAGCAAUUGGAGGGACCAUAUUUAGCUAUGAGAAAGGUGCAACAUCAAGAGUAAUCAGAAGAUACACUAAAAGCCAUCGAGACAACCCCAGUCUUACCAGGACCCAAAUCUCUCCAGAGUGAACCACAGAGAAUACAAAACAGUGAAGUUUGCCUCAUUGCAGGUUGCACACAGCAUUACCCAUGCAAAAGAAAAAAGAAUAUUAAAAGCAAAAACCCCUCGGACUUGAGAAGGGUGCAGUGUGUUGCUACAAAAGAGCUUUACCCUAUCCAAGGGACUACAUGAAAACCUGCUUCCAAUCACCCAUGUACAACUUCCCAGUACAUUGCUACUAUAAUAUCCUAAAAACACUCGCUCUUCACAACAACCCAGUCAUCAUCAUCAUCCUCAUCAUCAUUGUUCUAAGAUCUACUUUGUUAUGCUUGGAUGGUUGGAUGCCCUUCCUGUUGCCAACCCUCACCUGUUUCCAAGUAAGGUGAUAGUUACCCCCCCCCCCAUGACCUGACAUGUUCUCAUGGAAAAUUGGAAAUGAAGUGAUCGCCAUGACUAUCACGCAAUGUUAAGGAGACAAUAACAUCCUCCACAUACUCGUACACCUUCGCACUCAUGGUGAGCUUCCUUUGGUCUACCAAAUCCAUUCACAAAGCUUUGGCCAACUCAGGACAAUAGUGGAAUACGUUGUCAAAGGUGCUGUUCAGUGGGAUUGAACCCAAAGGCAUGUGGUUGGGAUAUACAAACUUGUUAACCACACAGCCAUACCUGCACCUAUCUACAUAAAUGCACACACAUACAUGCAUACACACACACACACAUAUAUAUACACACAUAUAUAUAUAUACUUGCGUGCAAAUACAUGUAUGUUUAUGUGUCUACGUAUAUAUGUAUAUAAAUAUGUGUAUGUAUAUACAAUCUGUUUCACCACUUAACAGUCCAAACAAAUCUACACAUUGUUUAUUUAUAGAGAAAGAAAGUUUUUACCUGUAAAGUGUAUUGCGUAGUGACAAUCAAUUUAAUAGACAUGUUUACAUUAGUACGGACAACUUUGAAGGAGCCCCUACCUGGUCGCUUUAGCUGCUAGAAACAGAAAGCAAAAUACCUUCAAGCUCUGCUCUACCACUUUAGAAAGUUGACACACUGAAUAUGUAGUCCUAGGUACAUAAAGCCAAAUGAAAAAUAGUUGGAAUACACUAUGUAAUAUAAUACUAGACAGGUAUACUGUGUUUAAUGGGAUGGUCAUGGCUGGAACAUCGUUUGGCUGUACAAACGGAACUAAUCUAGCAUUAAACAACAAUUAUAGAAAACAUCAAACAGAAUAAUUGUUAUAGACAUCAAAGAUAUAUAUAUAUGAAUGAAAAAUAGAUGGGAUGGUCGCAACCGGAGUGUCUUUGGAGCUUAUCAACAUGAUAUUCUAUUACAGUUAUUCCAACGACGGGUGGUAGCUAUCGGACUACCUCCUACAUAUUUUGCUAUCAGCAGCCAUUAGAUGAAACACAGUUGCCAUGGUAACAAGUUAGAAUAAACACAGUAAACUCAUUAUUGAUAUCUUUCAAUUAGGUAGGAGGAAGGAUGGGUGGGAAACAGGAAAAAAGAACAGGAUGCAAUCACCACCACCACCACCACCAUCAUCAUCAUCAUUUUAGCUUACAUGGGUCAGAUGGAAUCUGUUGAGGCAGACUUGCAACAGCUGGAUGCCUUUCCUGUCUCCAAACCUCACCUCUUUCCAAGUAAACUAAUAAUUGCCGAUGGUGAGAAAAUGCUUUCAUUGAAGAUGUGAAACAAUGGACAUCACUUGUAUGAUGAUGAUAUUGGGUCUAAAAUUGUUGUUGGUUUGUGGUCAUGCUGGGGCUCCUUGAUGAGUUUAGUUGGACAAGUUGACCUCGGUACUUAUUUUUUUGGUUCCUUUAGCCAAACCACUAAAUUACAGGGAUGUAAGCAAACCAACACCAGUUGUCAAGUUUUGGUGUGGCACAAACAUAGCACAAAAAGACCCCCCACACACACAACAGGCUUCUUUCAGUUAUUUUCCUCCAAAUCCACUCAUGAGGGUUAGGGUCAGCCUGGAACUAUCAUGGAAGAUACUUGCCCAAGGUACCACAUAGUGGGACUGAACUGGGGUUGCAAAACAAACUUCUUAAUUACACAGCCACACUUGCAGCCUACAAUUCAAUUAAAUAAAUUCCAAAUGCAUUUACAUUAUUGUCCUUGUCACCACCACCAUCAUCA